GUUUGAUCCUGGCUCAGAACGAACGCCUGGCGGCAUGCUUAACACAUGCAAGUCGAACGAGACCUUCGGGUCUAGCGGCGCACGGGUGCGUAACGCGUGGGAAUCUGCCCUUGGGUUCGGAAUAACUGGGAGAAAUUCCAGCUAAUACCGGAUGAUGACGAAAGUCCAAAGAUUUAUCGCCUGAGGAUGAGCCCGCGUAGGAUUAGGUAGUUGGUGGGGUAAAGGCUCACCAAGCCGACGAUCCUUAGCUGGUCUGAGAGGAUGAUCAGCCACACUGGGACUGAGACACGGCCCAGACUCCUACGGGAGGCAGCAGUGGGGAAUUUCCGCAAUGGGCGAAAGCCUGACGGAGCAAGACCGCGUGAGGGAAGAAGGUCUGUGGAUUGUAAACCUCUUUUGAUAGGGAAGA
rnacentral:rRNA from 1 species